rnacentral:misc_RNA from 1 species
GAUGAAGAACGCAGCGAAAUGCGAUAAGUAAUGUGAAUUGCAGAAUUCAGUGAAUCAUCGAAUCUUUGAACGCACAUUGCGCCCCUUGGUAUUCCGAGGGGCAUGCCUGUUCGAGCGUCAUUAUAACCCCUCAAGCUCAGCUUGGUGUUGGGGCCUGCUGCACUGGCAGCCCUUAAAAUCAGUGGCGGCGCCAUCUGGCUCUAAGCGUAGUAAUUCUUCUCGCUAUGGAGUCCUGGUGGAUGCUUGCCAUCAACCCCCAAUUUUUCUAUGGUUGACCUCGGAUCAGGUAGGGAUACCCGCUGAACUUAAGCAUAUUAAUAAGCGGAGGA